ACACCUCAACCCUCAUGGUUUACCAUGAUGGGCUUGGACUUUGGGGGUCUUGCUGGAUCAUAGUCAGCUCCCCUUAAAUGAAUCAGCUUGCCAGUGUUUGGUGGCAUCACAGGUGUGAUAAUUAUCUACGCUUGUGGUUUUACAUCAGGUAACCUUCAGCGAUGGGGGUUCGCUGGGGCUCAUAGACGUCUCUCCCUCGGCGAGGACAGCUUUUUUAAC
rnacentral:misc_RNA from 1 species